CUAUCUGUGACUCAAGCUUCAGAGGAAGUUUGCAGAGCAUGCUGCUCUAUGUGUUAUCAGCUUGCUUUUUAUGCUAAGAAGGACAUUAGGCAAAGCCAGACACUUCUGGAAAAGCUUUGGGAGCAUGUUUAGAGGGCUGUUGAUGGUUUUUGUUUCUGGUUGUCCCUGGCCUUCCAGCAGCCUAAGGCCAAGCAUGCUAGACUCUGUGUUACCUAAAAUGUUGACAUGAAGGAACCUGUGAACUCCGAGGAGCUUAGGCAAGUCACUAAGCCAUUGCCUUCCCUAUAAAACUGGAAAUGGAACCAAGACUGUUUCCAGGGGUGACUGUGGAGAAGCUGCUGGGUUUCCAUCUGCCUUGGUUCACCCUCAAGGGUGAUCACUUGGGGUCACAACAGAAAGCUCCUGACUCCCUGGCAUCAUCCCCUCUAGACCUGGUUAAAUCUCCUUCCUUCCACAUAUCACAUGCCACCUCCCAAAGAGGAAGCCAUAGACUGUAUGGAAGCUGCCACCAUCUUCAGCUUUUAAGCAGGUGUUGUAGAAAGGUUGGAGAGUCUCACCAAAGGCCCAACACUAGCAGCUACCUAAGACUGAACAGGACUGAAACUCAGGACUUGUGCUUCUUGUCAUGGUACCCAGUAACACUGGGAGAGACUCAGAGCAUGUACAGUGCUGAGUUCAUGCCUUCCAGGAAUUUUCAGACUGGUGUGGAGAAAAGCAACAAGCACAGCAUAGACUCCCAAGCCAGACAUGUUGGAGAGCCACAUCUCAGACAAGUUAACUGUGAAGAUCCAUCCUUGCCAAGACAUGACUUUGCAAUCAGGUAGUCAGCUUUCCUGAAGUACCUGGAAGAAGGAAUUCCAUUUCACGUGGCAUAUGUAAGAAACAAAGAAGAAAAGAAUCUAUUUCUGGAAUAUGAAUUUAGUUCUCUGCCUAAAGCAGAAAACCUCCUUUCUCU